rnacentral:rRNA from 1 species
CCGGCCCUACGGGGCGCAGCAGUGGGGAAUAUUGCACAAUGGGGGGAACCCUGAUGCAGCGACGCCGCGUGGGUGAAGAAGUCAUUCGUGACGUAAAGCCCUAUCAGCAGGGAAGAAAAUGACGGUACCUGACUAAGAAGCCCCGGCCAACUACGUGCCAGCAGCCGCGGUAAUACGUAGGGGGCAAGCGUUAUCCGGAUUUACUGGGUGUAAAGGGAGCGUAGACGGCG